CUCUUGAAAUACUUCAAGUAACCUCUGCCCUAUGAAUAGUUUAAAUGGCCGCAGUACUUUGACUGUGCAAAGGUAGCAUAAUCAUUUGCUUUUUAAUUGGAAGCUGGAAUGAAGGAGGCGACGAAAUUUAGACUAUUUGGCUUCAAGGUAAAAUUAACAUAAAGGUCAAAAGGCCUUUAUAGUCCAAAGGGACGACAAGACCCUAUAAAACUUCACUAUGAAGAAGGUCAUUUGGAUGAGAUUUUAAAUUUAUAGUUUAGCUGGGGCGGUUUAAAUAAAAACAAUUGAAAUAUAAAUAUUUUAAAUAGAUAUAGAGAGCUUUAUUAGAAAAUGAACAAGUUACUUUAGGGAUAACAGCAUAAUUCUCCCGGAGAGUCCUAAUUGGCGGGAGAGCUUAUGACCUCGAUGUUGAAUUGGGAAAUCUAGUAUAAGUAGC
rnacentral:rRNA from 1 species